CUGAACUUGGACUCCAAAGUUCAAGGUUCUCUCAGAUAAUGUCUCCGUUAUUUUGAAAUUGUUGGCAACAUCGCUGAAAAUCUCAGUGACUCAUUUUUAUCACACGACGUCGCUCAUCUGGCGUAAGGGCGAAUCUCGAUUUUCGCAUGAGCCCCAGAACGCAUGGAUUUAUAUGCAAAACAGGGAUCAUGCGUAAGUGGAGAUACGCCCUCACGUCAGAAGAAAGACGAUGAGGCAGGUCUAUCCACGCUACUGUGAAAAAACCGGAUGAAAAAAUUUAGAGGAUUAAGAGCUUACACUCUUACUUAGAAUGGACUUUUCAAGGUUACCUCCAUCUAACUCUGAGAUCUAACAAUGUUUUUAUCGUCUUGCCAUUUUUCUUUACGUUCCACCUUCUACUGAUUUAUAUUUUACUAGUGCUGGUUUAUAAAACGCGAAAACGGCUCAUCAAAAAGACGACUGCGUCUUCAUAAUAAAAAAGAAAAAAAAUCGCACGAAAGUACUUCAUUACACAAUACUGAUUCAUAUUCACUUAAUUUCGUCUACCAAAAAUCCCUGAUGCACGGCUCAUUCGUUUUUUUAGCUCGUUAAUUAGCAGUCUUCGAAACACCUGCCCGUGCACGUUAGAACAGUUUCGUUUUGUUCAUUGUGUGAUUGCGUUUGGUUUGCGGCACAAGUGAUUUUUAUCAUCCCAGGACCCCUUUUGGAUUAACUAUCAAAUACGGCCGUGGGCGGAAACAUGGAUAUCGAAACAUACAUUACACCCGAAAGACUCGAGAAAGAUGUGGAGCAUUUGCAAGACUGGAUGUCGAAGGAGCCUCACAUGCCGAAAAUCGACGACAAAGAAUGGAUCAUCACGUUUCUGCACCACAACAAGUACAGCCUUGAGAAAACGAAAAAGAAGCUGGAAAACUACUACGCCUACCGGAAUAAAUACCCAGAGGUCCUCAAAAACCGCGAUCCACUCGGUGAAUUUCUCUCGAGGUCGCGCAAGCUCUUCAAUCUCAGUCUCGCAGAUAGACUCACCAGAGAUGGAGAGCGGAUACUUUUCGGCAGCUUCAACUCAGACACAACCGGUUUCGACAUUUGGGAACAUAUGAAAUAUGGCUUCAUGAUCGUUGACACGUUCUACUUAGAGCAUGACAGACAUCAAUACUGCAUGUCCAUCACAGACUGUCGAAACUUGAGUUACGCUUUCUUCUUGAAGGCGCUUCCUGGAAUCAAAACCGGGAUCGACAUUUUCUUCACAGCUUACUCGGAUCGACUCAAAGCUUUUCAUAUCAUCAACGCUCCAGCGGGCGUGGAGAAGGUUUUGAACGGGUUCAAGAGUUUUUUGCCGGCUAAAAUCGCUGACAGGUUUUUUGUCCACUCCUCGCCGAAAGAACUGCUCCAGGUAGUUGACGAGAACGUAGUUUGCAGCGAUUUUGGCGGCAAAGGCCCGAGCUUGGCUGAAUAUGACGAGUACACCGCAAAUCUCAUGAAAAAACAUCGUCAAUGGUACCUGGAUCAAGAUGACGUCACUACAAACGAAGACCUGAGGCGAAAAACACCAAGUCAAAUAGAGGAACUGAAGGGAUCUUUCAGAAAACUCGAAGUUGACUAACUUUGUAACUGCGAUUUGUUCCUGUUUUUCGGUUGCUGACACACCGUUUCUGUUUGUUACAAUAUGUUCCACAAAGUUAAACGAAUCAAUUGAAGGCCCUCGUAGUCACCUGAAAAAUAUGGAAAUCGAAGAACACAUUACACCAGACAGACUCCGUCAAGACGUCCAACAUAUGAAAGACUGGAUGGACAAAGAACCUCACCUACCAAAAAUUUCUGACAAAGAAUGGCUCAUGACGUUCAUGCAUCAUACGAUGCAUGUAGCACGACGAUGUAGCACUAGCAAGAAGAGCGUUUAAUUGUAGUCUCUCCGAGAAACUGACAAAAGAUGGAGGACGGAUUCUCUAUAGCAGGUUCAACGAAGACACCAGUCUUUUCAACGUCACGAACCACCUGAAGCGGCUGUUCAUGAUCGUGGAUUUGUUUUACCUGGAGUAUGACCGACAUGACUCCUUACAUUCUGUCACCGACUGCCAAAAUCUGAGCUACACGUAUUUCCUCAAAGCGCUCCCGGGAAUCAAGGCCGGGAUGGACAUUUUCUUCACAGCUUACUCGGAUAGACUCAAAGCUUUUCAUAUCAUCAACGCUUCGCCGGGUUUAGAGAAAGUUUUCAACGGGUUCAAAAGUUUCCUGCCGGCCAAGAUCGCCGAUAGGUUUUUCGUCCACUCCUCGAUUGAUGAGCUGAUUCAGAUUUUGGGCGAAGAUGCGACUUGCACGGAUUUUGGCGGGAAGGGCCCCUCUUACUCUGAAUGUGACGAAUACACCACGAAGUUGAUAGAGAAACAUCGUAAAUGGUUUUUGGAACAGGAUGACAUUACCGUAAACGAUCAAUUACGGCGAAAGACGAACAACCAUGUCGAAGAAAUGAAAGGGUCCUUUCGGAAAAUAGAAGUUGACUAAAGAUCCUAGCUUAAAUUCCACGCAUUUCAUUUUCUUUGUUCUUUUUCAUUUUCCUAGUUUAAAGACGAGAAUAUUGAUUGUAUUGUUUUCUUUUAAGGAGAGUGUGAAUUAUUACCUCUCAAGGAAUCAAAGUCGUUGAAACUUCAUACUCAAAAGCUGUGAUAACGGAGCGAUGUUUAAAGUUUUUCAUAAUUUUUCCAACAAUUUGCAAGUCAAAUUAGAAAUUUAAAAAGAAAACAUGUUAUAGAUUUUUACUCAUACUUAUCGCUGCUCAAAAAUCAAUGUGCCAUCCACAAUCCACAUGCCUUAGAUUUUACGUAAAAAUGUUCAGUCUUCAACCUACCUUGAGUGUUUUCAUCAUAUAGACCAAAAUAAACUCAUUUGUGUCAAAAAUGUCAAA